GGGUUGUGAGGUUAAGCGACUAAGCGUACACGGUGGAUGCCCUGGCAGUCAGAGGCGAUGAAGGACGUGCUAAUCUGCGAUAAGCGUCGGUGAGGUGAUAUGAACCGUUAUAACCGGCGAUUUCCGAAUGGGGAAACCCAGUGUGUUUCGACACACUAUCAUUAACUGAAUCCAUAGGUUAAUGAGGCGAACCGGGGGAACUGAAACAUCUAAGUACCCCGAGGAAAAGAAAUCAACCGAGAUUCCCCCAGUAGCGGCGAGCGAACGGGGAGGAGCCCAGAGCCUGAAUCAGUGUGUGUGUUAGUGGAAGCGUCUGGAAAGGCGCGCGAUACAGGGUGACAGCCCCGUACACAAAAAUGCACAUAUUGUGAGCUCGAUGAGUAGGGCGGGACACGUGGUAUCCUGUCUGAAUAUGGGGGGACCAUCCUCCAAGGCUAAAUACUCCUGACUGACCGAUAGUGAACCAGUACCGUGAGGGAAAGGCGAAAAGAACCCCGGCGAGGGGAGUGAAAAAGAACCUGAAACCGUGUACGUACAAGCAGUGGGAGCCUCUUUUAUGGGGUGACUGCGUACCUUUUGUAUAAUGGGUCAGCGACUUAUAUUCUGUAGCAAGGUUAACCGAAUAGGGGAGCCGAAGGGAAACCGAGUCUUAACUGGGCGUUAAGUUGCAGGGUAUAGACCCGAAACCCGGUGAUCUAGCCAUGGGCAGGUUGAAGGUUGGGUAACACUAACUGGAGGACCGAACCGACUAAUGUUGAAAAAUUAGCGGAUGACUUGUGGCUGGGGGUGAAAGGCCAAUCAAACCGGGAGAUAGCUGGUUCUCCCCGAAAGCUAUUUAGGUAGCGCCUCGUGAAUUCAUCUCCGGGGGUAGAGCACUGUUUCGGCAAGGGGGUCAUCCCGACUUACCAACCCGAUGCAAACUGCGAAUACCGGAGAAUGUUAUCACGGGAGACACACGGCGGGUGCUAACGUCCGUCGUGAAGAGGGAAACAACCCAGACCGCCAGCUAAGGUCCCAAAGUCAUGGUUAAGUGGGAAACGAUGUGGGAAGGCCCAGACAGCCAGGAUGUUGGCUUAGAAGCAGCCAUCAUUUAAAGAAAGCGUAAUAGCUCACUGGUCGAGUCGGCCUGCGCGGAAGAUGUAACGGGGCUAAACCAUGCACCGAAGCUGCGGCAGCGACGCUUAUGCGUUGUUGGGUAGGGGAGCGUUCUGUAAGCCUGCGAAGGUGUGCUGUGAGGCAUGCUGGAGGUAUCAGAAGUGCGAAUGCUGACAUAAGUAACGAUAAAGCGGGUGAAAAGCCCGCUCGCCGGAAGACCAAGGGUUCCUGUCCAACGUUAAUCGGGGCAGGGUGAGUCGACCCCUAAGGCGAGGCCGAAAGGCGUAGUCGAUGGGAAACAGGUUAAUAUUCCUGUACUUGGUGUUACUGCGAAGGGGGGACGGAGAAGGCUAUGUUGGCCGGGCGACGGUUGUCCCGGUUUAAGCGUGUAGGCUGGUUUUCCAGGCAAAUCCGGAAAACCAAGGCUGAGGCGUGAUGACGAGGCACUACGGUGCUGAAGCGACAAAUGCCCUGCUUCCAGGAAAAGCCUCUAAGCAUCAGGUAACAUCAAAUCGUACCCCAAACCGACACAGGUGGUCAGGUAGAGAAUACCAAGGCGCUUGAGAGAACUCGGGUGAAGGAACUAGGCAAAAUGGUGCCGUAACUUCGGGAGAAGGCACGCUGAUAUGUAGGUGAAGCGACUUGCUCGUGGAGCUGAAAUCAGUCGAAGAUACCAGCUGGCUGCAACUGUUUAUUAAAAACACAGCACUGUGCAAACACGAAAGUGGACGUAUACGGUGUGACGCCUGCCCGGUGCCGGAAG
rnacentral:rRNA from 1 species